rnacentral:sRNA from 1 species
ACAGGGAUAGCGGCAGAGCCGGCAGCGGACGGUCCUUGCAUUGGCCUCCGGCAGGCGCCCCCCGGGGGCGGGAAGCUGCCUCACAGCAUGGAACCACAGGUUACUCUAAAUGUGACUUUUAAAAAUGAAAUUCAAAGCUUUCUGGUUUCUGAUCCAGAAAAUACAACUUGGGCUGAUAUCGAAGCUAUGGUGAGUGUUAUUUUGUUUCUCCUUGGUUUAAGCAUGGUUAUUUUUUCCAAAGGUAGCUAUUUUUAGCAGUGUUGUUUCAUAGCUGUGAAGUCUGUCAUAGUUACCAUUUCUGGGCCUUUUGGAAAAUUGCUUUUGAUAGGGUUUCAGUAUUCAUAUAUGAGAUGUGCCCCAAUAAAGGGAACCAACACAUAAAUUUCCUUUUGAACAUUUUAGAAAGGGAAGGUAAAAUUGUUUUUAGUGAGAUAGGAUUUAGAAAACCUAUUAAUUUUAGAAACAGUAUGAGUGAAUUGAUGUGGGCUCCACCCAACCAGAUCCCAAGGAAAUGUUCUCUUGUGUGAGGAUAUGACUUGUGUUUUGCACAAGGAUAUAACUUGUGUUUUGCAAGAGCCUAUCAAUUGUUUUUAUUGCUAGGUCAGAGGUUGAGUAUCUCAGAGUUGAGCAGGAAAAACUUUCAUACCUGCUUAGACAGCAGUUCACCUGUUCCGUUUUUUUGCUAAGGCUUUUCCUCCUCUUGGUUUGCCCUUUGUACUCUUCUGUUUUUGUUCAGUUUGCAGUGGUGAAUGUUUUACUUCCUGUGUUGACUGUGUUUCUCUCUGAAACCCUUUGGUAAAAAUCUACGUUUACCUGGUUAUAUCUGAUGAUAACUAAAAAGGGAAAGAAAUGGUAGAUCUUAAAAGAUGAUCUGAGGUAGUUGUCUGCCUUCCAGCAAAUACCUGUUCAUACUGUCCUAUCAGUGACAGUGAGACCCGUCUCAAAAAAAAAAAAAAA